ensembl:lncRNA
GAUCAAGAAAGAUGAAGACAACGUCAUCAACGCCUCCUCAUCUGUCGCCCUGCCCUGUGAUGCUGGAGGUCCUCUCUAGUGUCCCCAGUGUCAUCUGCAACCUCCAGGUCCCAGGGUUCAGCCUCCACAGGCUCUGCUGGUGAGCCAGGCCCAGACAGAAGAACAUGGCUUCCACAGCCUCCUGCCAGCUUUCUCAGCAUCAGGAAUCAGCACUCCUCACUGGUUAGCUCUUCCUUCUCUCCUUCACAGAUGAGACCUCUUUUUCCUUUCUGCUACUAGAAAGUCAAGGGCCUUUCCUCUUGGCCCAAACCUUUCAUCAAAAUAUCAUGCUGAGAGAAGUUCUCCAAAUGAAGGUAAACUCUCUCCGCCCUGCUCCCCUCCCUCUUCCCCUCCUUGCCCCUCCCCUUCCCUGCCCGGAGGAAAGAAGCUUGUUAACUUCGCACUAGAAGUGAGCUCAGGGCACCUAGACUUCCAGAGCAACCCCCAAGCAACCUCAGACUGUGUCAGGAGAAGAGUCAGUGCCUUUGAUUCUAAGUCCGGGUCAGAGGAAUAAAAAGAGACUUCCUCAUAACGUCGUGAAUUAGACGAAGAUGGAACCCAUAUCGGGAUUCUCCACUUCUCUCCCUGUGUCUUCUCCCACCCUCUGUGGCCUUUCUGUCUGUCUGUUGUCUGUCCCUAAGAAGGACUUUGCUGUGUGUCUACUGAACAGCACAAAAAUGCAGUAAUGGAAAGGAAUAAGAAAGUCUUUUCUAUAAAGAUUUUAAACAGUUUAAUAAGGGGGGGAAUGACUUUAUUAACCCAGAUGUCAGUCAAAAACCCCAUCCAGAUGUUACCAACCUAUAUCUACAUGCUGUUCCCAAUAUUUAUGAAAGAACAACAGAUUGGGCGGCGCCCUCCGGAAACCGUGAUGGUGAAUCUCUGUGCGGUGAACUGGUCAGUAUUCAUCUCCAGAUGGACACAGAAACAAUGUUUAUUGGCUACCUGGGCCUUUCAAUUGACCAUCACAAACACUGAUGCUGGAUCUCCUCCGUUAACACCUCUUUUCUUUCUCUGCUUCUUUGUUUUGUAUUUAGCUCCCUUAGUGUUUGUAGGCCCAUAUACAUAGGUCUGAGGUCGGCAUUUGAAUUAUGCAUAAGAAAUCUCCUAUAAAAAUCCAAUAUAUAAUUUUAAAUUUUUGCUAUCUAUAAUGAGUAACUGCAGCUGAGGCCUGAAGGCCCCAACAGGAGGCCAUACAUCUCUACCCUACCCUCUAAUCUGGCGGAACCAGCCCCCUUUCUGUAUUACAUGUCUCCAUUACUCACCAUGCAAUACCAAUUCCUCAGAAUUGAGAUUUUUAUCCUCUGAAACCCAGAUCUCAUUCAUCAACCUUGAAAGUACUGGGAGAAAACUCCAUCUUCCUGUUUUCUACCCUGCUCCCCAACAGCUGUGUGCGACUUCCUUCUCUGCUGUCCCGGUGAAAGUAGAUGUUACUGAAAUUUAAACAGAGCUAUACUCACCACAUAUGAGUGAGAGGAUGUUAGCCAAAGGGCUGCUAACUCGGCCAGCUAUAAGAAAGUUCCCAAUGGUAGGCCCUUUCGAACCAAAAGGGCUAUGGCUGGCUCCUUUGUGAUUCAGCAGACAGGCGUCUGCGCAGGCGUGAUAGACGUUAGGGAAUUGCACUUGUAUGAACGAUCAAAAUGGUCUUGUAUUUCUUCCAUCCGUGGUUUCUGGAUGCAGAGAGACCCUGUCCAGCAGACACUCAAGAUGGCCACUCACUGCCCCUGACCUCACUCAGAGUUCAGAGGGGAAGUAAGCAUCUGAUUUGUUCCAUAGCUAAGCCUCCAGGAAGAACUGUCCUAUGGAAUUGCAGCAUCCUCAGCUAGCUCAGCAUCAGCACCGCACCUGCACCUCUGCCUUGAGAGUAAGUGGAAGAAAUCCCUCUCCUCUCCUCCCCUCCCCUCUCUGCAACUUUGCCAGCAGCUAGUAAACUACAAAGCCAGCAAUCUACAGACAUGUUAGCAAGCAAGUAUACAGGUCACCCUUCAACAUACUCUGUAAGCUUGGGAAGUCUCCAGUCUGUCCCCGCUCUCUGACCAUCACGCUACUGGAACAUUUACUCCAAAGCAAACAAGACAGUAUUCUGUCAGCAGGAUCAGCCUUCUAGUCAGAUCAGCUCUAGACUGCUGUCAGUUCUGGGAUUUGCAGGGCCCUGCAGGGUAACACCAUCGCUUUCAAGAAAAGGUAAAGCCCAUAAAACCUAUAAAGGUAAAGCCCAUAAAACCUAUCUCAAACACACUUCAUACUCACUUAGGAUCUUACACUCCUUGGUACUGUUCUAAUUUAUUAGAUGUCAAUCCUGGAGAAACUGUCCAUGCCCACUCCAGGAGAGAGUUCUGGAAAUCACUCUGGAGUCUGGCCUCUCAGAGAGCUGCCACGUUGGACUGAUGGGUGCCUCAUUAUUAUCAUACCCUACAGUUCCUCUAGUUCCCCAAAUGGGACAUCUACUAAUUGUCACCUUACUGGCUAUGGACAUACAUUUGCACUAAUCCCUCCACAUGCCUUUGGAAACCAUUGCUCAAAUUUGCAAAGUAGGCUCUAGGAUGCAGUCCCAGCCUGCUUCACAGAACAAGGACAAGGGCAGGUUCCUCCAGAACAAGGCUGCCCUUUGUCUCCAUGGCCUGAUGCUCCUGCAACCCACUGUGAUCCCACAUGCCCACAUCCCCACCCCUCCAAAUCAGGAAGUCUGACCAAGAGAUCUUGUGAACUAGUUCAGCUAACUGCAGUGCAAGUCCCCCUCCUGCAAACAAGUUCCCUUGCCAAAGGUGCUGAGAUUUGCACUCAUCCUGACAUGCCUGGGGUCCAUCUAGCUUGUGCUAUUAAUAGCCACGCCAUGACACUAGCCCUCAGCUUAUUAAUAAUGCAUGACCAUUCCCACUUCGUUAGGAUACAAACGUCGCUCAUCUGCAUGAUUAGCUCUUAGCUUCCUGAUUAGAAUGCUUUAACCUGUCACAAGCAUGCCCUUUCUGGAUGAACGGAUCUUUUAAAGGGUACCAUGUUCUCUAAAGUACAGCUUAAAAUAAAAUUUAAAAACAAAAAGCACUGGCUCUUUAUUUUUUUCUGUGGAAUGAGAGAAAAACAGACUCGAAGUUUGGGG